CCCUUCCAGACAGUUUGCCAUGGUAAAAAAGACAUGCUAGUUAUAGCACUGCCAAAAUAAAUGCAGUAUGAGAGAUGUCAAACAUUUCAUCUUCCAAAAGACUAUACUGUGCAAAAAUGCUAAGCAAGAUGGUGGAGAGAUUGUAGUCAAACUAUCCACAUCCUUUUGAUGAACAGUAUCACACCACUUUCAUAAAAGAACAGAAGUUUGUGCUGGGACCACAUAGAGAUUGAAUCAUGAAGGGUGUCAUCUUUCAGUUCCCAAGUUUGGUAAAACAUUUUAGUUACUGAAUUCAUAUAUAGAACAUAGUAUUGCUGUUUGUUCUUCCAAUAUUUUUAAAGGAAUAAAAGUGAUAUUUCCAUGGUAUGCCACUUAACUCAAAUGUAUUUUUACAGAAAUAGAGACAUAAGCUCCUCAGAGGACUGGGGUUUUAAAUCAAAACUAACUUUUUGUAUUUCAGAUUCUUGAUUGACACAGUUCUCCACAAACAGUGCACUUGUUGUGUAUCUUCCAUGAUUAAAUCUAGAUGUUACUUGUCAUAUAUAAUGGCACAUCAUUAAUUCUUCACAGAACUGGUUUCUAAAUAAAGUAGAUAUAAUUUAAUUUGAUAUACACCUACUUUAAAACUGCCUUGUAGUCAUUUGUCUACCACAGAAUUAUAACGAUAUUCAUGCAAAGUAUUACAUAUAUGUGUAUGCACACGUAAACAGCUCAGAGUUUCUGUUUCCCUCAAUUUAUUUUAUGCCUCUGACAUAUGUCAGGUACAUUUUUUCUUCUUUUAAAGAAAACACAUUUGGCAACUUUUCUAACGAUAAAAUAUAGGAAGUAACACUACCAUAUCUCACUGAGUACUGAAAGGACUAUUUUAGUUAGUGCAGAUGCAGUGGUAAGACAACAGAAAAGUCAUUUGUAUGUCCUAACAAUUACCCCUGGUGACAGUUUGAUAAGAAAUCUCAUACAAGUUCUUUCUGAUGUUCCCAAGAUCUCCAGACACUUUGCAAGAUGAAGUGGAAUCAAUCUAAAUGAGAAAUAAUUUUCUUCACAACAUUUUUUUGCUUAGGUAUAAAUAUGAAGCUCAUUAAAGUUAAUGAUAAUAAUAAUAGUUCCACUGACUUCCUUGGGCUUUGACUCAAGUUCCAUGAAUAUUGUUUAAUUACUACAUGGACAUUUUUACUGCUAUUUAGAGCCAGCCAGUCUGAGAGUUGAUUAAGUCUGUUGCCUCUUCGUUUGCUAGCCAGAAGCUCAACAGUCACCAACUGUGGCUUACUUAACCCUCCAAAUGAAAAAGAUAUAGUGCUUGCUACAACCAUGAUGUUCUGCAUUUGUUCUAGUUCCUAAUUUAACUUAACCCCUAACUUAACCCUUGCUGAAAAUGACAAAGAAAAAGGAGGAGGGAAACAAA